CGGAGUGUGGCGCAGCUUGGUAGCGCGCGUCGUUCGGGACGACGAGGCCGCAGGUUCAAAUCCUGUCACUCCGA
rnacentral:tRNA from 1 species